CACCAAUCUGUGGGGGAGAAAAGCCGCUGGUUCAAUGAAGUGAUCUAUUCAACUCAGUGUUUCUCUCUCUUGCUCUCUUCAUUAAUUCCAUACUGUCCUGCCUUUUCAUCCUUUCUGUCUUUUGUUUUCUGUCUCUCUUACUUUUUAUUCCCCUCCUUCUUUCUCUGGCUGGCUGAGCUCUGACAAGGGGAUAGAAUCAAGAGUUUGGGAGAGGAGAGGGACAUUUGGGAGCGAGAUGGCGAGUGGGACGGUGGCGUUGUUCCUGUAUGGAUUCCUGCUCCUGUCUCUGUGGAAACCUUCACUGCAAGGAGGUGUAUACAUACCUGCUGGUGUAGGUGAAGCUGGGGCUGGAUUAGGAGCUGGAGCAGGAGUCAGAGCUGGAUUUGGUCCAGGUGGAGCUGGCACCAGUUUUGGGCCUGGUGGUGUAGGCACUGGAUAUGGGCCAGGUGGCGGAGCCGGAGUUGGACCAGGAGGUGUAGGUGGAGCUGGGGCUGGUCCAGGAGGUGCAGGCUUUGGCCCUGGAGCCGGUGGAGGUUACACCAAGCCAGGGAAGACGGGAGCUGGCUAUGGUGGUCAGGUUGUAGGCCAAGGCCAAGGCCAAGGAGGACUGGGGACUGGAGGUCUGGGGGAAGGAAGAGUUAGACCAGAAGGAGCUGGGGCCGGACCAGGAGGUUAUGGACAUGGCGGUGGUUUAGGAGCUGGAGGCCUUGGAGCAGGAGCUGGCAAUGGAGGUUGGGGUCCUGGAGGACAGGGGGCUGGACUAGGAGCUGGAGGUCUGGGAGGAGGAGGUCUUAGACCAGGAGCCAGACCAGGAGGUUAUGGACCAGGUGGUUAUGGGCCUGGUGCUGAUCUUAGUCUGGGCGGAGCUGUAGCUGGAGGUCUUGGUGGUGGUUACGGACUUGGCGGGGGUCUAGGUGCCGGAGGCCUUGGAGCAGGAGCUGGAGGAAAGCCAGAGAAGGCAGGAGCUGGCUACGGUGGUAGAGAUCCAGGAGGACAGGGGGCUGGACUGGGUGUUGGAGGUUUUGGACCAGGUGGCUAUGGACCAGGUGGAGCUGGUGCUGGACCAGGUGGCUAUGGGCUUGGUGUUGGUCUUGGUCCUGGGGGAGCUGGUCCUGGAGUUUUUGGUGGUGGUUAUGGACCCGAUGGAACAGGAGCUGGCUAUGUAGGUCGCAGUCCUGGGGGACAGGGGGCUGGAUUAGGAGCUGGAGGCUAUGGACCAGGUGGAGCUGGACCAGGAGGAUAUGGGCCUGGUUCUGGUGUUGGCCAGGGUGGAGCUGGUCCAGGUGGUUUUGGUGGUGGUCUUGGAGCUGGCGGACAAGGAGAUGCCCUUGGAGCUGGGUAUGGAGGUCUCGGAGCUGGGGGACUGGGAUCCAGAGGUACAGGUCAGGGGGCUGGAGGACUUGGAGCAGGCCAAGGUCUUGGAGCCGGCCAAGGAGAUGGAUACAGACCUGGAGGAGGCUACGGUGGUGCUGCUGGUGGUCUGUACCCUGGAGCUGGAGGGGCGGGGGCAGGCCAGAAACCUCCCAAAACAGGAGCAGGAAGCACACUAGGAGGAGAUGGAUAUGGACCUGGUGGUGCUGGUGGAUAUUGGCCUGGUGGCGCAGGUGGACAUGGGCCUGGUGGCGCAGGUGGACAUGGGCCUGGUGGCGUAGGUGGACAUGGGCCUGGUGGCGUAGGUGGACAUGGGCCUGGUGGCGCAGGAACUGGGCCUGGUGGCGCAGGAACUGGGCCUGGUGGCGCAGGAACUGGGCCUGGUGGCGCAGGAACGGGACCUGGUGGCACAGGUGGAUAUGGUCCUGGUGGCGCAGGAACUGGGCCUAGUGGCACAGGUGGAGUUGGCCUUGGUGGUUUUGGGCCUGGUGGCGCAGCAGUACCAGCUGGAGCACCAGUACUUCCACAGACUGGAGUCCCUGGGGGUGGAGCUAGAGAGAAGAGCGGUUGGAAGGCCAACAAACAAGUGCCAGGUGUUGGAGUACCUGGACUUUAUCAAGGUGGAAUAGUGCCUAGUCAAGGUUUCGGAGGGCGUGGGGUUCUACCAGGUGUUGCCACUGGAUCCGGACUUGCUCCCCAGACAGGGGCAGGUGUGCUGGGCCAGGGUGGAGUUGGAGCUGGCACUGGAGCUGGAGGUGGCCGAGGCAGUUUAAAUGGAGUGUUCCGUGGAUAUCCCCUCAUAUCACCUAAAUCUGGAGGGGCUGGAGGCAAAUCAGCUAAUUCCCAGGCCAAGCUUGCUGCUAAAUAUGCUGGAGCUGGAGGUGUACUUCGUCAAGGGGGCAUGUCGGGAGCAGGAGGAGUACCUAGCGGUGUACCUGGAGCAGGUGGGGUCCCUGGUUAUGGAGUUGGAGCUGGAGGUGUACUUCGUCAAGGGGGCAUGGCCGGAGCAGGAGGUGUACCUAGCGGCGUACCUGGAGCAGAUGGGGUCCCUGGUUAUGGAGUUGGAGCUGGUGGUGUACCUGGUUACGGAGGUGGAGCAGGAGGCAUACCUGGAUUCGGAGGCGUAGCCAGAGCAGGAGGCGUACCUGGUUACGGGGGCGGAGCCGGACCAGGAGGCGUACCUGGGGCAGGGGGCGUCCCUGGCUCAGGUGGGUAUGGAUACCCAGGGGGUUACCCAGGUGGAGGGCGGUACCCAGGGGCUGGCCUAGGUGUAGGAGGUGCCUACCCCGGAGGAGCUGGAUCUAAGGCAGCCAAAUAUGGUCAGGGUGGAGCAGGCACUGGAGCUGGUGGUGGGCUCAGCCAGGGAGUGCCUGCAUCUGGGAUUGGAACCGGAAGACUGCCUGGUGGGGCUGGAGGGGAACCAGGAGGCGGUUACAGGCCUGGCGGUAGCUUCGGUCCUGGAGGUGGAGUUGGACCAGGUGGGGCCAGUUAUGGACCAGGUGGGGCCGGCUAUGGACCAGGUGGAGCUGGACCUGGUGGCUAUGGACCAGGUAGUGCUGGAAGUUAUGGAACAGGUGGAGGGGUUGGACCAGGUGGUGCCGGGGAAGGACAUGGUGGAGCUGGCUAUGGACCAGGUGGAGGAGUUGGUGGAGUGCCUGGUGGUGGACACAGACCCGGAGGUGGUUUACCUGGUAGUGGUGCUGGUUACGGACCUGGUGCUGGUGUUGGAGGAUAUGAUGCAAAUGCUAAAGCUCGUAAAUAUGGUAUGCUAAGUGGUGUCCUUGGGACCCCAGGAGGAGGACAGGCAGCCAGCCUGGGAGGAGUACCAGGAGGGGGAGCAGGGACUGGAGUAGGCCAGGGUGGAGUGCCUGGAUCUGGGCUUGGUGGUGGUGGAGGUGUCCCUGGUGGUUAUGGUCCUGGAGCUGGAUUUGGACCUGGCCGUGGAACCGGUGGUGGUUAUGGACCAGGAGUGGGUGCUGGGACUGGACUUGGCCAGGGAGCAGGGCCUGGAGCUGGGCUUGGUGCUGGUGGAGUGCCUGGUGGUGGAUACAGACCCGGAGGUGGUUUACCUGGUAGUGGUGCUGGUUACGGACCUGGUGCUGGUGUUGGAGGAUAUCCUGCUGGGGCUAAGUCUCUGAAAUACGGUCCAGGAGGAGGUGGAGGAGCUCCGGGUGGAGGCCUUGGUGGGCGAUUCGGUGCCCCGGGAGGAGGUCUGCCAGGAGGAGGCUACGGACCAGGGGCAGGAGGCGCCUUAGGAGCAGGAGAAGCAGGAGCAGGAGGAAGAGUGCCUGGGGGUGGAUACGGGACCGGAGCUGGGCCUGGUGCAGGGUAUGGAGCAGGAACAGGGCCUGGAGCUGGGUACGGUCAGGGAGCAGGAGGAGUCCCUGGAGGAGGCUAUGAAGCUAGGGCAAGAGCAGGAGGACUACCUGGGGCCGGAUAUGGACCUGGAAGAGGAUAUGGAGCCGGAUCAAAACCUGCUAAAUAUGGACAAGUUGCUGGUGGGGCCGGUGGGGCCCUUGGAGGAGGAGCUGGACAAGGAUUCGGAGGGGUACCAGGUGGCUAUGGACCAGGUGGCUUCGGAGCUGGACCAGGUGGCUUCGGAGCCGGACCAGGUGGCUAUGGAGCCGGACCAGGUGGCUUUGGAGCCGGACCAGGUGGCGUUGGAGCCGGGGGCGGAGCAGGAUUAGGAGGGGUGCCAGGUGGGCUUCCAGGAGGGUACAGCGGUUCUCCCUGGGGGAAAAGGGGCUAUGGUACUGGAUCUGGAUUUAAGGCAGACAAAUAUGGACCAGGUGGGGCAGGAGGGGCCCUUGGUGCUGGGGCAGCUGGAGGUGCAGGGGCUGGGACAGGGACUGGGACCGGGACCAGAGCUGGGACAGGUGCUGGAGGAGGUGCAGGACCUACACCUGGCCCUGGCACAAGAGCAGGAGGAGAUGGCACUGGGACAGGAGCAGGAGGAGACAGGAUAGGCGCAGGAGGAGCAGGCACAGGAGGUGAGCCUGGUGGUGCCGGUGGGGUUCUAGAAGGAUCUGGAAGUUCUGCUGGCCCAGGAGAUGGCACCGGCGUCACAGCUGGUGCUGUUGGAGGAGGGGUGGGAGACACAGGAAUCCCUAGCAUUGGAGGAAAACCAGAUCAAUCGGGGCUCGGGGGGACAGCAAUCCCAGGCAUCGCUAUUAUCAUUAGUGACACAGCCCCUGAUUCACCCAGUGGAAUUGCAGUGCCAGAAACUGGGGCUGGAGUUGUUCAACCCAGUGCUGGGGCUGGAGUUGAUGGGGUAGGAGUUCCCUCUGGAGGUGCUGCUAACGGUGAUAUCACUGGAGGGGGGACUCUACCUGGAGCUAAACCUCUGAAGGCUCCAAGAGGAGAUACACCUGGUGAAGGAGAGGGAGAUGCAGGAGGAGGAGCAAGAGGUGUUGGUGGAGGUCCUGAUGGUGCAGGAGGAGCAGGCAGUGGAUCUGGCGGAGUAGGAAGAGAUGGUGAUGGUAGAGGAGGAGGACCAGGAGGAGCAGACAGUGGAUCUGGCGGUGUAGGAAGAGAUGGUGAUGGUAAAGGAGGAGGAGGACCGGGAGGAGCAGGGGGGAAAGACGGUGGUGCAGUUAGAGUGGGAGGAAGUCCUAACGGUACAGGGGGAGCUGGAGGUUCAGGAGUUGGAGGAGCAGGAGUAGAACCUGGAGGAGGUGCAGGACCAGGCAGUAGUGACAAACCACCCAAAGGUUAUGGAGCAGGUGGGGCUGGCAGUCUGGGUGCAGGAGGUGCUGGAGGAGCAGCUCUGGUCCCUGGGACUGGUGGUGCCGGUGAUAUAGGAGCUGGAACCCCCAAACCAGGAAAAAGCUACGGAGUUGGUGGAGUCCUGCCAGGUGGAGGUCUACGUUACCCAACUGGGGCUAGAGAAGGACUGGGCUCAGGGAAGCCGGGCAAAGGAUAUGGUGCUGGCCAAUUUGGAGCAGGAGGACGACGUCCUGGAGGAUAUGGUGCCGGACCAGGCGGAUACGGAGCCAGUCCUGGAGGAUAUGGCACUGGACCCGGUGGUUAUGGGGCCAGACCCGGUGGUUAUGGUGCUGGUCCAGGUGGUUAUGGGGCUGGAGCUGGUCCUGGUGGCUAUGGUGCUGGGCCAGGUGGAUAUGGUGCUGGACAAGGUGGCUAUGGUGCUGGGCCAAGUGGCUACGGGACAGGGGCUGGGCCUGGAGGAUAUGGAUCCAAGCCAUACAAGACUGGAGGUGCUGGAGCCGGUGGUGUUGGUGGAGGUCUGGGUGGAGCUGGCAGCCUGGGUGCCAUAGGAGCCGGACCAGGAGGAGUGGGUGGAGGUCAAGGAGGCGGUCUAGGUGGAGGUCAAGGUGGAGCUGGACCAGGUGGAUAUAUACCAGGUGGAGUUGGUAGCAGAUACCCCACAGGUGCUGGAACUGGUACAGGAACUGGCACUGGAAAACCACCUAAUAGCUAUGGGAGAGCUGUUGGAGCUGGAGAUGGGCUUGGUGGUUAUGGUGGCGGAACAGUUGGUUAUGGACCAGGAGGAACUGGGGUCGGACUAGGUGGGGCUGGGGCCGGGCAAGGUGGAUAUGGUGCCGGACAUAAAGGUUAUGGACCAGGUGGAGCAGGGCCGGGAGGAGCUGGGGUCAGACCAGGUGGAGCAGAGGCCGGACCUGGUGGCUAUGGCGCAGGGCCUGGAGGUUAUGGGCCUGGGGCUGGUCUUGGUCCUGGAGGUUAUGGGGCUGAACCUGGUGGCUAUGGACCAGGUAGAGCAGGGCCGGGAGGAGCUGGGGUCAGACCAGGUGGAGCCAGACCAGGUGGAGCAGAGGCAGGACCUGGUGGCUAUGGUGCUGGGCCUGGAGGUUAUGGGCCUGGGGCUGGUCUUGGUCCUGGCGGAGCUGGUCCUGGAGGUUAUGGGGCUGGACCUGGUGGCUAUGGACCUGGUGGCUAUGGACCAGGUGGCGCUGGAUCUCAUAAAUAUGGUAUGCUAAGUGGUUCCCUUGGAGGGGGACAAGCAGCUGGCCAGGGAAGAGUGCCAGGAGGGGGAGCAAGGACUGGGCUAGGUCAGGGAGGAGUGCCUGGAGGAGGAGCAGGUACUGGGCUAGGCCAUGGAGGAGUGCCUGGAUCUGGGCUUGGUGGCGGUAGUGGUCCGGGUGCUGGGUAUGGACCUGCCAUUGGAACCCAUGGAGGUUAUGGACCAGGAGGUGGUGCUGGGACCGGACUUGGUCAGGGAAGAGCCGGGGUCGGACCAGGUGGCUAUGGACCACUUGGAGCUGGGGCUGGACAGGGAACUGGAGCUGGAGGAUAUGACGCAAAUGCUAAAGCUCGUAAAUAUGGUAUGCUAAGUGGUACCAUUGGAGGAGGACAAGCAGCUGGCCAGGGAAGUGUGCCAGGAGGGGGAGCAGGGACUGGAGUAGGCCAGGGUGGAGUGCCUGGAUCUGGGCUUGGUGGUGGUGGAGGUGUCCCCGGUGGUUAUGGUCCUGGAGCAGGAUUUGGACCUGGUGGUGGAACUGUUGGUGGUUAUGGACCAGGAGGGGGUGCUGGGACCGGACUUGGCCAGGGAGGAGUUGGGGCCAUACCAGAUGGCUAUGGGACUGGGCCUGGUGGUUAUGGACCAGGUGGAGCCGGACAGGGUGCAGUGAAGCCAAACAAAUCAGGUUAUGGCUCCUCCUCCUCGGGUGGAGCUCUCUUUGGACCAGGUGGUGGAGCAGGUGGGGUACCUGGUGCUGGAGCUACCGGGCGAAGAGGAGGAGUACCAGGAGGCUACGGAGUAGGAGAAGCGGGACAGUCAGGGCAGAAAUCAAAGGCACAGAAGGCAGCCAAAUACACAGCCAUGCAAGGCUUCCUGGGAGCACGCAGCUACAGAGGGGUCGCCGACUGCCAGGGUAUAUACUGCGGACGGAGGAGGAAGUGAGAGAGCAGCAAAAAGAAGUGACCUCAUCAACAACAUUGUGGUGCUACUGCAUGAUUCAAUAAUGUACUGAUUUUCAACUACUAAUAUGUCCCUUUUUUCUUUUAAAGUGUGAAUCUCGGGCAAUGGCAAAACCAGAGCCUGUUUGAUCUUUUAUUCUGAAACUGUGAUCAUGUGUUUAUUGUUCCUCACCUGUACUUUAGCCCCUCCUGUGUGUACCCCAUUUACCCAUUUAGCUCCACCACGAAUCAUGUUUGUUUAAAACACUGAUACUAAGGCGUCCCACAACGGAGUGCCUCUAGACCUGUCUGUAUGCUGACUAAACUGUCUGUUUUCUGAUUAAUGUGACUAACAUCCCUCUAUAAAGCUAUGCUAUUGACACACAGGCCCAGACUUACUCAACAUUUGCACCUGCACUUUUCAAUAUACCUAGUUUUUGUUCAAGUUGUUUAGUUGCAAACUUUUACAAUAUCUGGCCCAAGGCGUCUUGAGAUAUAUACACACACUGCUGCCAUAAAUGAAAAUCAUAGGAGAUAUCUUUAGAGUGGUAAUCUUACAACCACCAUUUUUGAUUUAGAACUGUGUCCACUCUGAACCCUCAAAAGGCAGUGUGUGUCCACAGCAACACUCAUGUUCUAACUCUGAUUCUAGUUUCAGCAGUUCUCAAAAAAAAGGAGCUUAUUGCCCUUAGUAAAGGUUUUAAGAUCUUAUAUGCAGUCGUGUAUAAUGUCUUUACAGAAUAUAUAUAGUAAGGUUUAACUAAGCCACUUGCCUGAAAUAUUAUCAACAUCUUUCUGAAUGGCUGUAUAACACUGAAUUGCUGUGAGUGUUUUGAAUACUUAAUCACACCGAUAUGACUGUGUUAGUACAGCCAUAGUUGAGAUGACUGAAAAUGCAAACGUAUAUUUUCUUUGUUUAAAAUCCUCAUCUUGGCUUUACUGAGAGCAACAGUACCUACAUGACAUUUGCAGUUGAUUAAAACUAAUAUUAUAAUCAUGCAAUCCAGAGAUUGGCCUGUUUUCAGACCUAUCACCGUAAAACAUAAUUCUGUUAACUCAAAUUAUUUGAAAAACUGAUUGCCUUGACUCAUUAAAUUAAAGCAACACAUUUUUUUGUAAGUUACCAGUACUCAGUUCAUUUUGUUUUAGUGACUUAGAAGAUUAUGUUACACAGUGAACUGUAGAGAGCAUAUAACUGCAGACUGUUGACAAAAGCCCAACGUUUUUACGCGCGUUAAUUCACCCAGGAAAUAGAAUGCAUGGGAGAGAAUGAGAGACAACAGAUGGGCCUCAACGGUGUCAUUACACAUCAGUUUAGAAAGCAAGUCUAUUUCUCUCCACAUCUACAAGAAGCAAUGCUGGUAAAAUGAGCAAAUAAAUUGCCAGAAAAUAGACUGUUUGCAUCGUUAUGUCUGGAAAUGUGAAAUGUAUAGUUAAACUGAUCAACACUGAAUAGACACUUUUUAACUGCCAAUACAUAUAUGAAAACAAAUGCAUAGAAUUUCGAUCACAGGCAUAUAGCCUAGGCCAGGGGUCUCCAAAGUUUUUUCUAGCCUGAGUUACUUUAAGAAAAAUGUAACAUGUCGCUUCUCUUCUCCCAUUCAACUCUUCCUCAGGUCCUUAGUGUAUAAGAGAAAGUAGUGCACUGUUUUCUGUCAAUAUACCUGGUAAAAUAAGGAUUAAUAAACAACUCUAAGGGGAGACCUAUAAAGUCAGAUUUGUUUUCUCCAAAAUUAUGUUUUCAAUUUCCCAAAAUACGUUUUCUCUGUUUUAUAUUUUCUGGUUUAAGAUGUUGAUUUUACUCUUAAAAUUACAAUUGUUCAUAGAGAAGUUUGUUCUGAGGACAUGUCAAUGGUUAAAUCACAUCAGGAUACCCUUUUUUUUGGGGGGGACAAAUAGAUUUCCCCUUUAUUGUGCAUCUAGCGAGUAAGGAAUGUGCCGUCUAAUGUGCCAGUCUGGCGAUGGUUCUGUACUGCUGCUGCUGCUCAUUUAAUGGCAAAGUUAGUAAAUAACAAAUAGAUACAAAUGAUAUAUUUACUUAUAUCAUUUAUAUAUAAACUUCUGCCUGGUAAGCCUACUGCCACAAGACGGUUAUCGCAUCACCUGGCUACACACGGAGUGAUUGACAAACGCGCCACACCAUAUACAGUAGACAGACGCGCAAUACUACCGGAAAUGAAUUGGCAGAUAUUGUGAAGGUUUAAUUCUCUAUGCCAAUAGUGGCUAACAAGGGGUGGGAUAAUGUCAAUGUUGAGUUGUUUAGAUAGGUGGUAGCUUGCAGUGUCGGAUAAUUGGGAGAUUUGUUUAUGACAGUUUGCGAUGGAACAGAGGAAAAAUUGCAUAUGCUUUCAGAAUUGUUUGGUGAGCUACUCAUAGGUGAGCUGCGAGCUACUGGUAGCUCAUGAUCGACCUGCUGGAGACCCCAGGCCUUGGCAGACUACGGCUGGGAAACUCGAGGAACUACGAUUUCAAGAGAGAAUACUAUUAUGUAGGAAGAACGAACUAGCUAAAUUCCUUAUAGACUGCUCGGGUUUAUUAGCUACAACUCUCCUCAUGUUCAUGAAUAACAAUUUUUUAGCCUGUGCAGGCAGGUACGGUGGCUCCCAUAGGACAUCUAAGAUGAGUCAAAAGGAACACACAAAAAUAGUUCCCAGGUGCUAUAUAGCGAACAUAACAAUUACAACUGUUUAUUAUGGAUUAUCAUGACGAUUACGUUGGCAUACGCUACGCAGUAUAUGUGAAUUGACGCUGGCCUCUCGCAAGCAAAUUUCACACCGUUGACAGGCAUCUCCGGGUGUAAUUUCGGUUUAACACCGAUGCAGUUCAAGUCUUUUCACUCUGAACUUAAACUAUUUGUUUACUUUAGCUUUUUAAAUUAUGAAGGAAAAAAAUGCUAAAACAUUUUCAACAAUGUCUACUCUUCUGAUUUAAAAAAAAAUAAGUGCUUUAUUUUUUUACAUUGUCUUUGAAUGCUCUCUAAUGCUAGUGUUACCUGAGGUGUCAUGUUACAUGUUUAAUGAAACGUUGUAAUCUUGAGUUAUCUAUGGGCUAUAGUGUUUAUAUCAUUAAGCCCAGACAGACAAAGAACAUCUGUGUUUUACCUUAGAAGAGAAUGAUUCACUUUUUUUUACACAGUACACAGUUUUUAAAUAAAGAAAUUACCUGAA
ensembl:lncRNA